GUCUACGGCCUUACUCCCCCGAAUGCACCCGAUCUCGUCUGAUAUCGGAAGCUAAGCAGGGUCUGGCCUGGUUAGUACUUGGAUGGGAGAAAUGCACAGAGCUUAGUCU
rnacentral:rRNA from 1 species